GGCUGAGCCAUCACCCAGCACCAGGUUCCGGUGAGGACCAUAGCAACUCCUGUCCGCACUUUGCAUACUUACAUUAGUUUCCUGAAGAAUUCUCCCAUUGUGCCUUGCCCGACAUCUGAGAGCAGUGAGUGGUCUGCCUGGCAUUGAAAAGGAAAAAGUUUCUGGAAGACCCACCUGGGGCUAGAAGCCUUGAAGUUGCUGUGGGUCUGGGGCUUGUGAAGGGAAGCCGGAAUGGGGGAGGGCUGCGUGGAGGCAGGGGACUGGCCCUGAAGGCCAGAGACGAUCUCCUGGGCUACAGAUCCCAGGCCCCUGGGGUGGGAUGGUGUGUGUGUUGGGGGCACCUGAGUUGCCCACCUCAGGGGAACUUGGGGGUCCUCCAGGGCCCCAACUGCGAAGCCCCUAUUGCUGUUUUUCCUAAGCCCCCAGGCCUAAAAGCUAGAGUCCCAGGGAGAAUAAAACAGCCUGAGCAAAAAGGCUCCAAGGCAGUUCAAAGACAGAGAGAGACUGAGGAUGAAGUUUUCAAGCCACAUCCAAGGGGAGGGCUUUUCAUCUGCCAGCCUUUGAAUCGGGAAUCAAGGCGGGCAAAGUUACUACCAGGUUAAAGUUUAAAUGGCACAGAAAGGGGAGACAGGAAGAUGAAACGACGGCCGUCUGGCCAGGGGAACAAAGCCGGAGCCCAGCCUGGCCACCUGGCCGCAGAGGCGCUGAGUGGUAGCAGUCCCAGCCAGGAGGGGCUGCGACGCUGCCAUUGUUCAGCUGAAGAACGAAAGUAAUUGAAAGGAAAGGCCCUGUUCUCUAGCCACUUGGGAGGACAAGUGUCAUCGCAAUCCCUAAGGGAGGACAGAAGUCAUUCACGGCACUCUACAGAAGCCAGAAGAUGUGCUUAUAGGCGGUGUUGGGUGUUGUCUUGAGCCCACAGUGGGCCUAAGCUGUACUGGGGAUGUUCGAUGAAAGCAGAGAGAGAAAUAAAAGAUCAUGCAGGAACUUCCAUGAGGAUAGGAAGACAAGAAAGGUCAACACACAGCACGGCCAACAAGCAAGACAGUCUAAGAAUGAACAUGGUGACUUAAAAGAUGACAUGGGGGCUGCAGGGAGGGAGAAACAAACGGGGAGGGAAGCACAAGUCUUGUGAGUGUCUUUUUGGAGAGACAGGACUGAGAUGGGUCUCCAAGAUAAAUUUAGUUUUGGAUCAGGACAGGAAAAGAGAGAAAGGCCCUGAUCUGAGGGUAAGGACGAGAUGCACAAAGAGCAGCACAUUCUGUAACAUGUCAGUAGUGAGUAGAGCUUGCUCUGAAAUGAUCCUGCAUAAUAUUAAAAUCACCCUUGAUAAAAGAUGUGCAGCCAGUCUGGAAACGCCAACAGUGAUUGAGCAUAUAGGUGAUGGGGUUUGCAUGUUUGUUAAUUUAUCUGUUGUUUUUCUUUUUUAUCUUUCCACUAUGAAUAUGUAGUACUUGUGCAUUUAAAAAAUGUUAUAAAUCUGCAAGUUAACAAAUCUAAUGCAUUUCCCUUCAAUCUCAUCAUCCCAAGACUAGACCUUUUUCGGACAGUGGCUUGAAGACAGACAGGCUCUCCUAAGAGAUGGAAGCCCAGGGUGUUCAGCCCCCACUGUCUAAGGCCCCCCAACUCCAGGAGCCCCAUAUGUUCCUACCAGACCAUAGGCUUAACUGGAUGUAGGCCAGGGGUGGGGGAAUGUGCUCUGCUUGGCAUUGUAAGGUGCCAGGCGCACCUGAGCAGCUGGACAGGUGUGACAGAUGCCCUGGAUUGCAUGGAGCUGGCUGUGCCUGUGCACACACACCCGUCUGCACCCCGUCCUCCCCUCCCUACACCUCCCUGUCUUCCCGGCUAGCUCAGGUGUGGUGCAUCUGUGGCCCAUUGGCAGCUCUCUUGCCCGCAGUGCACAGGGAGCUGUCAGGUUAAAAGCUGGCUUGCUCGAUUUGAUCCCACAUGCGAGCUGUUUUAUUUCCCUCUCUCUCCCUUACACGGCUUCGGUGUGCUUUUAUAAAUAUUUCACUAGCCUUGCUAAAGUCUAUUUCAUCUCUCUCUUAAAUUUAUUAAAUAUAAAUGCAGCAACAACUCUACCAUAAGUCUCUCUUUGCUGUCAAAAUCUCAGGCUCCCAUGGAAGUAAAUAUAAUUUGCUUUGUUUACCGUAGGUAACUUGGAGCCCUAUCUGCUAUCUCAACACCCCCUAAGCACCCCCAAAUCUCCCUGUUUUUGUUAGCAGGGGUCUGUCUCAUCCCAAUGUAGUGCACGGGGACACGGGUCACGCUUUGAAGAGGGCGUGACAAAGGGGCUGUUCUCCGACACUCGCAUGGCAGGGAAUUUCUUGGUCCGCUGGUCCCUCAAUGACACAAUCAAUGAGUAAAGGGGGAUACCUUUACUCAUCACCUCAGACCUGAGCACGCCCUGGGCCCCAUUUGGGCAGAGCUUUGCUCUUUGCUUUUCUUUUAAAGUAAAGGGCCCAUCUGCUGCAGCUAGUGACCUGGCCAAAAAAGACACAGACUGCUGUGAAAUGAUUGAGGGCAGUGACUCCCCUCCCACCCCAGGAGCCAGAGCCGACAGAGCCAAGAGCAAGGCAGGAAUUCAGGUCCCCAAAAGCAAGCCAGAAGCACCACCUCCAAGCGCCCUGCCACUUCCUUUGUUCUUUGUUAAUUGCAAAAUAAACACAACCCUGCCCACCGACUGUGGAGAAAGAUUUCUGCCAACUGGGGGACCCGGCAGGUAGUGGGCAGGCAUUUGCCCUCCAUCAACCACAUGUGAUUUCCUGGAGGAGAAGGGGCAGUAGAGAAGGGGCAGAGUGGCAGGGCUGGGAUGGACCUAGCUUAGGGCUUGUA
rnacentral:lncRNA from 1 species